CCUACGGGAGGCAGCAGUGGGGAAUCUUGCGCAAUGGGCGAAAGCCUGACGCAGCAACGCCGCGUGCGGGAAGAAGGCUCUCGGGUUGUAAACCGCUUUCAGCAGGAACGAAAAUGACGGUACUUGCAGAAGAAGGUGCGGCCAACUACGUGCCAGCAGCCGCGGUGACACGUAGGCACCAAGCGUUGUCCGGAUUUAUUGGGCGUAAAGAGCUCGUAGGCGGUUCGGUAAGUCAGGUGUGAAAACUUUGGGCUCAACCCAAAGCCUGCAUCUGAUACUGCUGUGACUAGAGUUCGGUAGGGGAGCGGGGAAUUCCUAGUGUAGCGGUGAAAUGCGCAGAUAUUAGGAGGAACACCGGUGGCGAAGGCGCCGCUCUGGGCCGAAACUGACGCUGAGGAGCGAAAGCGUGGGUAGCAAACAGGAUUAGAUACCCUGGUAGUCCACGCCGUAAACGUUGGGCACUAGGUGUGGGUUUACAACACGAAACUACGCGCGUCGCUACGCAUAGUCGCCCGCCGUCGGGUAGGUACGGCCGCGAACGUUAAACGUACAAUAGAUAGACGGCGUGAGACGNGCCGACGGACGACGACGAGGGAGUAGG
rnacentral:rRNA from 1 species